rnacentral:rRNA from 1 species
CCACCCUUUAAUGUUUGAUGUUCUAACGUGGAUCCGUAAUCCGGGUUGCGGACAGUGUCUGGUGGGUAGUUUGACUGGGGCGGUCUCCUCCUAAAGAGUAACGGAGGAGCACGAAGGUUGGCUAAUCCUGGUCGGACAUCAGGAGGUUAGUGCAAUGGCAUAAGCCAGCUUGACUGCGAGCGUGACGGCGCGAGCAGGUGCGAAAGCAGGUCAUAGUGAUCCGGUGGUUCUGAAUGGAAGGGCCAUCGCUCAACGGAUAAAAGGUACUCCGGGGAUAACAGGCUGAUACCGCCCAAGAGUUCAUAUCGACGGCGGUGUUUGGCACCUCGAUGUCGGCUCAUCACAUCCUGGGGCUGAAGUAGGUCCCAAGGGUAUGGCUGUUCGCCAUUUAAAGUGGUACGCGAGCUGGGUUUAGAACGUCGUGAGACAGUUCGGUCCCUAUCUGCCGUGGGCGCUGGAGAACUGAGGGGGGCUGCUCCUAGUACGAGAGGACCGGAGUGGACGCAUCACUGGUGUUCGGGUUGUCAUGCCAAUGGCACUGCCCGGUAGCUAAAUGCGGAAGAGAUAAGUGCUGAAAGCAUCUAAGCACGAAACUUGCCCCGAGAUGAGUUCUCCCUGAGACUUAGAGUCUCCUGAAGGAACGUUGAAGACGACGACGUUGAUAGGCCGGGUGUGUAAGCGCAGCGAUGCGUUGAGCUAACCGGUACUAAUGAACCGUGAGGCUUAACCUUACAACGCCGAAG